rnacentral:rRNA from 1 species
GACGAACGCUGGCGGCGUGCUUAACACAUGCAAGUCGAACGGAAAGGCCCUGCUUUUGUGGGGCGCUCGAGUGGCGAACGGGUGAGUAACACGCGAGUAACCUGUCCUUGACUUUGGGAUAACUCUAGGAAACUGGGGCUAAUAUCGGAUAGGAGCUCCUGCUGCACGGUGGGGGUUGGAAAGAUUCGGUGGUUGGGGAUGGACUCGCGGCUUAUCAGCUUGUUGGUGGGGUAGUGGCUUACCAAGGCUUUGACGGGUAGCCGGCCUGAGAGGGUGACCGGCCACAUUGGGACUGAGGUACGGCCCAGACUCCUACGGGAGGCAGCAGUGGAGAAUAUUACACAGUGGGCGGAAGCCUGAUGCAGCAACGCCGCGUGCGGGAUGACGGCCUUCGGGUUGUAAACCGCUUUCGCCUGUGACGAAGCGUGAGUGACGGUAAUGAGUAAAGAAGCACCGGCUAACUACGUG